CCUACGGGAGGCAGCAGUGAGGAAUAUUGGUCAAUGGACGAGAGUCUGAACCAGCCAAGUAGCGUGAAGGAUGACUGCCCUAUGGGUUGUAAACUUCUUUUAUAUGGGAAUAAAAUGUUCCACGUGUGGGAUUUUGUAUGUACCAUAUGAAUAAGGAUCGGCUAAUUCCGUGCCAGCAGCCGCGGUAAUACGGAGGUUCGGAGCGUUACCGGGAUUUAUUGGGUUUAAAGGGAGCGUAGGUGGAUUGUUAAGUCAGUUGUGAAAGUUUGCGGCUCAACCGUAAAAUUGCAGUUGAAACUGGCAGUCUUGAGUACAGUAGAGGUGGGCGGAAUUCGUGGUGUAGCGGUGAAAUGCUUAGAUAUCACGAAGAACUCCGAUUGCGAAGGCAGUUCACUGGACUGCAACUGACACUGAGGCUCGAAAGUGUGGGUAUCAAACAGGAUUAGAUACCCUGGUAGUC
rnacentral:rRNA from 1 species